rnacentral:lncRNA from 1 species
UUUGUGAGUGGUCAGGCUGAGAACAGUGACACUGGAGAUGCACGUUCAUGUGAAUUCUCCAUGUUUUUCUUUCUCUCUUUCAAUGAAUACAACGUCGCCCGGUUGGAAUAUUAUCGCAAUUUUACGAGAAAAAUAGCAUACAAAUUUAUUUUAAACAGCGUUUGACAUGCUUCGAAGUACGGUAAUGGAAUAUUUUGAAAUAUUUUGUCUCGAAAUGCGCCCGCGCGUCACCCUUCGGAUACUGACAUGAACGCACGAACAAAACGGAGCUAUUUGGAUAUAACUAUGGAUUAUUUCGAACCAAAACAACAUUUGUUGUUGAAGUAGAAGUCCUGGGAGUGCAUUCUGACGAAGAACAGCAAAGGUAACACGCCGAAAACUGUGCACGGGUGGGUCUUUGACCCGUAAAUUAAAGACCUGUCCCCUGUGAUUGGGGUUCCAUAGCAGGCCGGUAUAUAUCUAAGGUCGACAGAGACGGUGACGGAAUCCACCCUACAUUGCUUUUCCCAGCCUACAAGACGAAGAAUCCCCCACCUAACCAACACCAAGCAGCGGAGAGAGGAGCGGCACGCUCAGUAUAUGGACUAUGGGGAAAGAUGGACUUGGGAGGAGAUUUUGGAUGGGGAUGGACCUUGGCAUCAGGCUGGGGAAUACCGUCGCCCACGGGAAGAGAUCGAGGAAUGGUGAAUGAAGCUACAUUUAAAAAAAAUUAUUUUUUGUUUCAGUUUCACAGCAAAUUUCCUGCAAUUCUUCACAUUUUCCAAUAAGUUAUGCCAUGUUAAUAUGAUAUCUGAGUGACUAACAAAAUCAAUGGGGGACCCUGGAAGGGUGGGCCCCUGGGUACAUGCCCUGCAUGGUCCGGUCGGUAAUUCGGCCAUGAUUACUACAACUUUAGAUAGCUGGCUAAACUAAGUACACUAAUUUACCAAUCUAAAUGCUUUAACUGACAUGGGCUAAUUGAGUGACAUAAAGUAACAAGAAUAAAACUGCUGCAACCAA